rnacentral:rRNA from 1 species
GACGAACGCUGGCGGCGUGCUUAACACAUGCAAGUCGAACGAGAAUCUAUGGAUCGAGGAUUCGUCCAAGUGAAGUAGAGGACAGUGGCGGACGGGUGAGUAACGCGUGAGGAACCUGCCUUUCAGAGGGGGACAACGAGUUAGGAAACGACUGACUAAUACCGCAUGACACAUAGAGAUCGCAGUUGGUUUUUAUGUACAAAGUAUUUAUCGCUAGAAAGAUGGCCUCGCGUCUGAUUAGCUGGUU